CGGACAGCGGGGAGAAGGACAGCUCGCUGAAGUCUCGUGUGGAGUAAACGCAGAUGCUCUUAUCAGCCGAGCAGGUGGCCAGCAGAGCGCCGGAGAACGCGCAGUAGUUCACGUCGUCGCGGUGACUUUGUAAGCUGCCUCCAGUGGGCCACGACGCACGCGGGUGCUUCCAGGACCUGCUGUCCAUCUCGGAGCGCCUCUGGGGCCAGGGAUACUGAAGAAUACUCCGACAGCUUUCAUAUGGGUUCAGGUAUGAGUUUCGUACAGUAUGCCUUUGAGUGGAGGCCUUGAUGUGUUGUAUAUAAGAAAACAAUAACGUUACAAAAAAAAGGGAAAAAACGAAACCAAACAAAAAAAGAACAAAUUAUUUUCCCUAUACCCUGUUCUGAAGGGCAGGCACUACUAAGAUUAAGGAGACCACAGUGUUUUGUAGAGGAUAUGUAUAUACUGUACAAACAAUAAAUGUAUAUUAUUAAUCACUUUAAGACUAAAAUUAAU